GUUCCAAUGAGAAUGAAGGCUGAGGUGUGCGCCUUUUUUUUUUUUCCUUCUUAGUCGUGUGUACAUCAUUGGGAAUGGAGGGAAAUAAAUGACUGGAUGGUCGCUGCUUUUUAAGUUUCAAAUUGACAUUCCAGACAAGCGGUGCCUGAGCCCGUGCCUGUCUUCAGAUCUUCACAGCACAGUUCCUGGGAAGGUGGAGCCACCAGCCUCUCCCUGACAAGCAAAGUGGAUCAGCAAAGGCUGCAGUCACCAGCAUCUUUUCCAACCUUAAUGAACUGUAUCCUCAAAAGAACACUAUCAGACUGGUAAGACAAGCAUUAUUGUCCCACUUCACAGAUGAAGAGCUUGGGGGCCCUGUGGAUGUGUAGGAGAGUCGGCCUUCCUUUUUAUAGGCCUUUUGCUGAGCUCAGAGGACAGAGCAGAAGACAAAGCCGAAUGCAGCCCUAAGCAGACACUAUCCCAGCCCAAGGAGCUAUGCAGACAGCUCCUGCCUAGAGGAGAAACAAUUCUCUCCUUCAGCCAGGCAUGUGGCACAGAGGUGAACAGGAAAUGCUUAGGGAGACAGUUCACAGAUAUAUAUGUACUUCACAGGGCACAAUUUAAUCCAUAAAUCAAUCAUGGAUCACCGCUAAAGAAAACAAAAUAUGCUGCCACUAAUUUGCCACCACCCUGUGAGCAUGAUUGGAUGAUGUUUAUUUUGAUUAGGAGAUUGCUCCAUUUAUAAAUCUUCAAUACAUCCUGUCCCCCUAAAACGGCAUCUGGGUCUUUUGAGGGUUAAAAAAAAAAAAAAGUGAAAUUGGAUGAGGGAUGAGAGCUGGACUUCUGUGUGUCCCGGGGUCCCUGGAUCCACAGCCUGGUGCCUAGCAUCAGUUAAGCCCACGCUGGGGUCGCAUCACAUCCCGCAAAGCCACGUGCUCUGUGAGGCCAACAGGAGCCCCGCCGGGUGGACCAGCUGGAAUCUCAGAGAGCGCCGACUCUGAAACUACCCGGCUCUGCAGAAGCACGCUGGGCCCAGGGGCUUCUAGACUGACAGCUCCAUUUAUCAACUACCUAUUGGUUUUAAAAAUUGGAGUGUCUUUUCCGCGUUGACUGAUUUUGGCUCUAAGAGAUGUCGCUGGUCAUUUCAGAGUGACUGAACCUCCCCUCUAACAGAUCCCGGGAAUUGUUUUCAGGAAAGGUAAAAGGCAGCCUUUUCUGUCACAACACAACGCUGAGCCGGCAGCCUGGCUCUGUCAGGAUCUGGGGCUCCCGCGCCCGAGAAGCCCAGCCUCGCCGGCGGCCAAGUUCACCGCGAGGCCCCGCGCUGCCUGCGCUGCGCUCCCGGACCCGCACCGACCGCAGCGCGCGCCGCCGGUGCUUCUCCCACCCCAGCCUGGAAGCUGCCUCCCUCCGCCUAUGCCUGCAGGAUAAGAAGCCCGAGGAGGCGGAGCAUGGAACUCGACAGUUAAAACAUUUAAGAGAGAAAACCUAGUGUCUUGCUGGCCUGAAAUCGAGUACGCAGCCCGGGGUGAUCAGGGUCUCCCGGCCCGGAUGUGUGAGACUUGCUUCCCCUGGGCAAUAGGCGAUACGAUGCUUUAGGAGGAAGGUGUCUCUCCCUCCUAAGCCCCGGAGGGGAGAACUUCCAAAGACAGAAAACCACAGGCUUCCUGGCACAGAGCUUUCCCUUUAUCAGCUAAAGCAGAAUCUUUUCUGGCCUUAACCUGGCCCCUUCCUCUAACUGCAGGCAGAGAGGCAGACAGAAAAGCACUUGCUGAAACACAAAGUUUUGUUCUGUCCUCAACGAACUGUCUAGAGCUGAUUGCUGAUAGUCGUGGUGCAUUAUGCCUUCCUGGUUUUCAUUUAAUUGGGCACCACGCUGCCUUUCAAGACGCCUUAAAGGAACCAACAACCAAAUCCAAGAGAGCUGGACAGACCAUUGAACACACAGUAGGCUGUGUCUCGUGGCUUUCGUUGUCUGGUGCCUCAAAGAAAACACCAGAAAGAUUGUUUCUAAGCUAGAGCCACCCCAGAUUGCUUAAAGUGCAAAGCUCACUGCUGUUGGGGGUACCCUUGUGAGACACUGGAAAGCUGGUUUUACCGUGGCCCUAUGAAGAGGAAGACUGAAAUUUAGACAGUAAUACCUUUACUAGGAUUGGAAAAGAUUUGGUUAAUGACAGCCCUGUCAUUUCUAAAACCCAUUAUCACUGUAUGAGAGAUUCCUUUGCGCUGCAUCCUCGACAGUGCUUCCUAAGGCUCUGCCGACUUCCAGUUCUGGAACAAGAUGGUUAAACUCAUUUUUCCCUGCUCUGCUCCUCUAAAUACAACUAAGUACCUUGGAAACUAUUCAGCAGACAAUGAUAAAGGGCUCUGAAAGCUAGAAGAAAAGGUGUACUUGCAAGAAACCUCAGGACUUGAGUAACAGCAACAUGAACAAUCCAUUUCACAGAUGAAGAAACAGACUCAGUGAGCACGUGAUCACUUCUCACAACUAAUGGAGCCAAGAUUCUGUCCUUAUGGCUCCAGAGACCUCUUUUUUUUCCCACUGUACCACAACACUCACCAGGACUGGAGUGCCACCUAUGACCUCAUUGCAUAAUGGAUGGCUUGUCCUCAAAUGGGCCCGGCUGGAGGUACCAUGCACCUUUGAGGGACCAAGGACCCAAGACUUGAGGUAGACACUAUUCCCAGCUGGAUACUCUCAAUGUUGAGGAUAUAGAUGCACAAACCAAUGCAGGGAGGCCUCCAGGAGCCACUGGAGAAGAAAUCUUCAGAUCCUACCAGGCCCAUAGCUGUUGCCUUUGUGGGCUCCUGGGUUAAUUUCCACACAUCAGUGGCCCACCUUAUGAUAUCCUCCCUGCAUGCCACACUCCCGGCCAUGCUCUGUGGACAGCCAUUAUUUCCAGUAAUUGCUAAUGGGAGCCAGUCUCCAAAGAGUAAUGAAUCAGAGGUGUUCCUUGGAAUGUGUUACACUAGGACUUCGCCGAUCUCACAGGCUCCUUUCCAGAUGAGCUGACUGUAAUCUCUGGGAAGCUGGAUCUGGAGGAACAAUGGGAUGGGAUUUGCGGUGACCCUUCCUGCCCUUCUUGAGCAGCUUGUGAACCAGAAGAUGUGCCUGGAGAGAAAGCCUCAUUUGGGGAAGUGCAGUAGUCGAAGUUCUUUAUUUUGAAAAUGGAGAACAACCCUUCUCACAAUCCUGUCUCCCCUUCCCCCUUUCCAACUAGAAUAUCAGCUCCCCUGAACAUGAGUCAGUCACAUUUCAGGGAAAACUGGCUGAUGUUGAAGAAAUCACUUGAGGGCAAACUUUGUCCUUCAAGCUGUGGGUCUCUGAAGUGUAGAGCCAGCAGAUCCCCCAGUGUAGGGACUGGGCCUUCCUUGCCCAUUGAAUGCUUUCUAUACAUGAAGACUUGGAGCUCUUUACAGAUGACAGUAGCCAGUGAGGAAGAUAAAAGAAGAGAAAAGACCCAAAAUGCGGGUUUGCCACUCUUUUUUGCCAGCACCGUGGGGACAGUCACUCUGCCUUCUUUCCACCACCUCCAACUUCACACUCACACGCACACUCUGGUCCCACAGAGCCUGUUUGGUACUUGCCUGACAGCCCACCUUGAAACCAGAUGGUCAUGAACCUGUCACCAAGUCAUCUGAAGAUCUUCCACUGCAACCUGUAUGGCAUCUGCCACAGGGACCAUGGGACAUGAUUGAAGAACCACUCCAGUGCAGUUGAUGAAGGGGUGGGUCUGCACUGGAGUUAGGUGCACCAGGGCCUGGGCCAAGGGUGGGCUGGGUCCAUCUUGUGUGUGGUGGUCUUCUUCAGAGUAGCAGCUGAUUCAGAGGGAUUCCAUAGAACUGCACAGGCUAGGUCUAGUCAGAUAUCUUGGACAUUUUCUAUUUCUAGAUUAGAGAAUAUAGCAUACGCUGAUUUUAAUAUAACUGUGUAUGUGACUUUUUCAGUGAGAAAAAUUUUAAGUGAUGUUCUAAACAAUUUUUGGCAUGUAGACAGAAUAGUCAAAUAUCUGUUUAACUAGCAACAUAGUUACUCGUGCAUAUUUAAAAUACUACAUGAGUAUGGCCUGGCACAGUGGCUCAUGCCUGUAAUCCUAGCACUCUGGGAGGCCGAGGUGAGCAUAUUGCCUGAGUUCAGUUUGAGACCACUUUGGACAACAUGGUGAAACCCUGACUCUAUAAAAAUACAAAAAUGUAGCCAGGUGUGGUGGUGCGUGCCUGUAGUCCCGGCUACUUGGGAAGCUGAGGUGCAAGAAUUGCCUGAACCUGAGAGGCAGAGGUUGCAGUGACCUGAGAUUGUGUCACUGCACUCCAGCCUAGGUGACAGAGCAAGACUACAUCUCAAAAAAUAAAACAAAAUAAAAUAGGCCCUGUGCCGUGGCUCACGCCUGUAAUUCCAGCAUUUUGGGCAGCUGAGGCGGGCAGACCACCUGAGGUCAGGAGUUCAAGACCAGCCUGACCGACAUGGUGAAACCCCAUCUAUACUAAAUACAAAAAAUUAGCCAGGUAUGGUGAUGCAUGCCUGUAGUCCAAGCUACUUGGGAGGCUGAGGCAGGAGAGAAUGGCUUCAACCUGGGAGGCAGAGGUUGCAGUGAGCCGAGAUUGCGCCACUGCACUCCAGCCUGGGUGAUAGAGCAAGACUUCGUCUCAAACAAUAAAAUAAUAAAAUAAAAU
rnacentral:lncRNA from 1 species